CGCGUUCCCCGGCAAGGAUCAGGGUGUGUAGCAGGUGAAGUAUGCCAGUAGGUGGUGAGCCGCGGCCCCUCUUGCUGUGUUUUGGCUGUGAGUGUGUGGGCACAGGGUCUCUGUGGAUUUACCCACGGGCCUGGUCAAGUGGCGCCCAACGUGGGCCCCGAGAACAGGGGAAUUAGUGAGGGACAUUGUUCGUGGGCCCAAAGUAGAAAAAGGAAAAAGAAAAUAGAGACCGACGUGGGAGCCUGCCAUGCUGCUGAACCUCGGGUCUCCGUGGAUUUACCCAUGGGCCUGGUCAGUUGCUGGCAAAAAACAUUUUAAGAGGAAGUGAAGGGAAAUAGAAAAAAAGAAUUGAGGUCCUUUACCAGGAGGGAUCCAUGGAGAAGGGUCACCACUCACUGCUCUUUGCUGCUCUUCUCUACUUGGGCUUGCUCAGGUGAGUGUAAGCUCCAGGACCAAGGGAGGAGGGAAUUAAAGAGUGCAACCCAACCACCCCUGCAGAUUUUUACUAGGAUAGCACCAACCACAAAGACACACGUGUACUUUUCCGAGAACUGCAGCAACCGCCGGGACUGAUGGUGUUCCUGCGACUCACAACUCCACCUCUAAAUGUAUCCUUAUGCCUUCCCGAGGGGCUGUUUUUGCCUGCGUGCCCAUUCCCUCCGCUGUGGUUUUCAGGCAUGUAAGCCCAUGUCUUCUUACCUCGGGAUUGCUCUCUGUCUGCUAACGACCCGCCCCUGCGCCAAAUAAACUUUGUGGCAGUGUCUCCAUCGUCCUUGCAUGGGUUAUGGUCUCAUUUACCUUUCAGAGUGGACUUACCAGGGAAUCUAGGAAAAUACACUUGGCAGUUCCUAGGCUGCAGUGUAAGGGAGACAAUCGGAUCGGGCACACGGUGUGAAGAAGGUUAAAGAAAGUUUCAGGAAGAUGGAAAUAUUUGGAAAGAUGUCUGAAUGCUGACAGGAAACUAAAUUGAGGACAGAAUCCCUGCUGGACAUAGCCACUUGGGGCAGAAGGGAGUCUGUGUGAGCAUGGAGCACGUAGCAGGGCUCAAAGGAGUUGGGGGAGUGAGCCCCAGCAUGCAGGGGCCCAGUACUGAUGUAGAAAAGCAUUGUGUUUAACCCAAGCAAUCGGAAGCCACUCAAGCUUAAAGGAGGGGGAUAAUGUCUUGUUCGAAAAAGUAAAAGCAAAAAUUCUUGAGGGGAAGGGACAAAAAGAAUAUAUUCCUGACCUUUUGUUCCCAGGGUCCUAUUUAAAAAUAGGAGAUGCCAGGUAUGGUGGCCAUGCCUGUAAUCCCAGCACCUAGGAAGCUGAGGCAGGAGAAUCACUGCAUUUUUGGCCAGUUGAGGGUACAUUGAAAGGAUUUUGCCUAUGAUAUUAGGGCAGUGAGAGGCGGGACCUGGGGAUGUUUACUUGAGGUCACUUUCCCCUCCCAUAUGACAACUUACUUGUUGUGGGGAGCCCUGUAAUUGGCUGCCACCUUAUGUCUGCAGGCCACACCACCUUAAUUCCCUCUAGGAGUUAAGUUUGGUAAUUAAGCAGCAUCUUGCAUAACUUGUUUAGCCUGGUCCCAUUAUUCAGGGAUUAUGCUUAUUGAGCCUGAGCAUGGGAAAUUCGAACUGACCUAUGAACCUCCGUCUUGCCAUUGUUGCUAAGUUACCUGCUGAUGUCUCAGCACCCAAAUCCCUCCUCCUGAGUACCCUAUAUAUUUGACACUUAUUCCUUGAAUAAAGAGAGACCUGAUUGGAAUUCCUCAACUUGUCUCCCCUCUUUGUGUCUCUUGCUCCCUUUUCAUCCCCACUCCUCCUCUAGGGUGUCCGUGGACUUACCCGCAGGCAGGGUCAACCUGUGGUGCAAAAAGAGUCCCAAUCAGCUGCCUGCACAUCAGCAAUACCACCUUAAGCACCAUCUCAGUUGGAAACUAUAGGUAUGCCCCACACACCAAGUUUCCAGCAAAGAAAGCCAGGCCCUGGCGGUGAUGGACUUCUCUGCGAGUCCUUAGAACAAAGGCUAGUUUUAUUUUAUAUUCUCUCUUUUACUGCGCUGAAAAUCCUAUCAUACAUAAUAAGCCCUUGUAUCACGAUGAAAAGGAAAAAAGAAAGAAAGAAAGAAAGAAAGAGAAAGAAAGAAAAGGAUGAUCAGUACCAUAGGAUAGGAUGAUCGGUACAGAUAUCAUAGCCUUUGGCUUUGUGCGGUAGCUCUUACUAGUCACUUAGGGAUUUGGUUUUUUUCUCAAGGGGCCUCCCUGGCUGGGCCCAGAGGUCCCAACAGAGGCGUAGAAAGGUUUCUGGUGCUGUGGCGCGCGUUGGCCCUCAGCGUGGUGCACAGGAACAUGGUGCAUGGAACCGCGGGGCGCAAGUGGGCGGGGUUGCUUAGAAGUAAGUGGCUCGGGAUUGGGUGUUUGGCGAUACUAUGUUAAUGAAGUUGCCCUCGUGAAGUAAGUUUUCCAAAAGGCAAGACCUUGAAAGUGGUUUUUUUUGUAGGUCUGGUAAGGGAAAGGCGUUUUGGAGGGUGUUGCUAGAAGUGUGCAUUUAUGUGAGCCGAUGUCCCACAGGUAGGGGGCCAUCAGCGUAAUAUGUGUGCGUUUCAGGGAGGAAGCAAACAUUUGUGUAGUAUGUUACUAGAAAAGUUUUUUUUGACUGUUUAGAACACUGGGAACCACAAGGAGGAGUUGUAGUGUUUAUUUCUGAGUGUAAAGGUGACUCUUACUGUUCCUUGUGUGCAGCUGUCAAUGCUGUUGAUAACUGUUCUUAUUAUCUCUUUUUUAAAAAAUUUUUAUUUAAAAGGAAAAAGAGAAAAAACAAAACUGAAAGGUUGCUGGCCCAGACUGGACACUGUAGCCAGAAAAGCCUCAGCUGGAAUUAGGGAGCUCCUGCCUCCCCCGCCCCUAGAGAUUUACCUGCCCCUGGCGCCAAACGUGUGCCAAUGAAAUACCUGUGCAUCUCUAAUGGCCUUAGGGCACUGCCCUAAGCUUAGGCUACUUAUAUUCCCCCACGCCACGUGUCAGCAGGAGAGAUCGCCGGCCCCGGGGUGGAGAUGCCACGCCCCAGGGGGUUGGGGGUGUCUCUCCCCGCAUUCCCAAAAUAAAGUUCUAUCAGAUGGUGCCGUGACCAGGGACAGCAGGUGAGAGACUCCUGGGGCUGUUUCCCAGUUUCGAGUCCCCUGCUGUUCAAGACCCACCAGACUGCAUCCUAUAAUUCCUCACUUCUACACUCAGCAAUUCUACACUUGGCUGCUGGUUCCCAAACAACACCCACCAAUUUACCACAGGUGAGCAACUCCCCAGAGACAGCCACUGAGCCAGGCUCACGUGGAUUUUCUCCCCUCUUUGCGUGGGUUCAUGACCCUUUCACGUCUUUUAGACAGCCCAAACCUAGGCCCUCACAUUUUUUCCAGAGCUUUUGGGGCUUUCUGGGCAAGCGGAUGUCCAUUCUGGACAGCCCACACUGAGAGACCCUCACUUUAAAACUUUUUAUCUUUGCUUCAAGAAUGUGCCCCUUUCCCUCCAGCUUCCCUGUCCCUUUGUCUCCUCCAGGAUCCCUCCCCCUCCCCGCACUUAAAGAGAUAACAGCCUCUUCCCUUGCAGCCUUUCGGAGUUUUUCUCAGUGCCUCCUUUUCUCCCACUGACCGUUCCCCCAAACGCGCUGCCAGCGUCUCUUGGUUUCCCAGCACGCGCUUCCUCUCCCCCACACCGUGCUGCCAGCUUCCUUUGUUUCCCGUGCGUGCCAACCCAUCCCCCGCCACUGACAUUAAAAUGAGACCAGACAAUAAGAGAUUCACAUAAAACUGCUUUAGAUUUUAAACAGCUUUUUUUUCUUUUUGCUCUCACAUCGCACUCCAAUUCUGUGGGCCCCACAGUUUCAGCUCCUUGUCCAGCCCGUUCCAUGCCGC